rnacentral:rRNA from 1 species
GCGUAGGAUAUUUGAGAGGAGCUGCCCUUAGUACGAGAGGACCGGGGUGGACUGGCCUCUGGUGUAUCUGUUGAACUAUCAAGUUCAUGGCAGAGUAGCCAAGCCGGGACGGGAUAAACGCUGAAGGCAUCUAAGCGUGAAGCCCCCCUCAAGAUGAGAUAUCCCAUACGCAAGUAGUAAGACCCCUUGAAGACGACGAGGUAGAUAGGGCAGAGGUGGAAGCGUAGUAAUACGUGAAGCUGACUGUUACUAAUCGGUCGAGGGCUUAACCAAAA